rnacentral:lncRNA from 1 species
GUGGCCUAGGAUUUUUGCUUUUUGACUGCUUGGUUUGCACUCGAUGCUCGGGUCUUUGUAUACUGAUCCUGAUUGAGGGUGGGGGCAGGGUGAGCCUGGUUUUAUAGGCUUUCAUGCAUUUAUUUUAUGUACUUAGUUAGGUUAAAAUUUAUUGUCGGGUUGUUGAUGGUUGUUGUGGUAGUUGGUUUUGCUGUACCUGACUGAGGGUUAUUGUA